rnacentral:rRNA from 1 species
GACAGAGGUGCCGAGCGUUAGGCGGAAUUACUGGGCGUAAAGCGCACGUAGGCGGCUUUGCAAGUCAGAGGUGAAAGCCCGGGGCUCAACCCCGGAAUUGCCUUUGAGACUGCAGAGCUAGCAGGUGAGAGAGGUAAGUGGAAUUCCUAGUGUAGAGGUGAAAUUCGUAGAUAUUAGGAAGAACACCAGAGGCGAAGGCGGCUUUCUGGCUCGCAACUGACGCUGAGGCGCGAAAGCGUGGGGAGCAAACAGG